rnacentral:rRNA from 1 species
GACAGAGGGUGCAAACGUUGUUCGGAAUUACUGGGCGUAAAGCGCGUGUAGGCUGCUCUGCAAGUCGGAUGUGAAAGCCCUGGGCUCAACCUAGGAAGUGCACUCGAAACUGCAGAGCUGGAGUCCUGGAGAGGAAGGCGGAAUUCUCGGUGUAGAGGUGAAAUGCGUAGAUAUCGUGAGGAAGAUCAGUGGCGAAGGCGGAUCUCUGGACAGCUCCUGACGCUGAGGCACGAAGGCCAGGGGAGCAAACGGG